rnacentral:rRNA from 1 species
CGCCAGCCCGCUCAAGAAACUCAAAGGAAUUGACGGGGGCCCGCACAAGCGGUGGAGCAUGUGGUUUAAUUCGAUGAUACGCGAGGAACCUUACCUGGGCUCAAAUGUAUGUUGACGUAUUCUGAAAGGGAUACUUCUUCGGACAAUAUACAAGGUGCUGCAUGGUUGUCGUCAGCUCGUGCCGUGAGGUGUCGGGUUAAGUCCCAUAACGAGCGCAACCCCUAUCAUUAGUUGCCAUCAGGUCAAGCUGGGGACUCUAAUGAAACUGCCUACGCAAGUAGUGAGGAAGGUGGGGAUGACGUCAAAUCAGCACGGCCCUUACGUCCAGGGCUACACACGUGCUACAAUGGCCGGUACAAAGGGCAGCUACCUGGUGACAGGAUGCUAAUCUCAAAAGCCGGUCUCAGUUCGGAUCGGAGUCUGCAACCCGACUCCGUGAAGUUGGAUUCGCUAGUAAUCGCGCAUCAGCCAUGGCGCGGUGAAUACGUUCCCGGGCCUU